rnacentral:lncRNA from 1 species
GGCGGAGGAGGAGGGAAGUUACUUGAGGAAAUGUGUUAAGCAAUGCAGCUUGUUAUGUAGAGCAAACCCUCAUGAAGUCCUCCAUGGUAUGAAGGGUGAAGCCAUGGCAAAGUCAAGGAAGCUUCUGCCCUCUCUGGGCCAAUUCUACACCUACUGAGAAUCAGUUUUGCACCCAACUCUGAUAGUGGGUUUUCUUCCCACGUCUCAAUUAACAAAACUCAGGAAAAGCCUCCUGGUGCUCAGCCCGGUCCUGCCCCACUGUCUGACAAGGGGAGGUGAAGCACAGUCACACCGAUUGCAGGAAGACACACCCCCAAAGGAAGCUAAACUGGUCUUUGUUGUUAAAAUGCUUUUGGCGUGCAUUGCUGAACCCCUGGAGGAAGAGGGGCCAGGAUGGAUGUCUUCUCACCUGAUGCAAGCAACUGAGAAGGAAACUACAUAUGGCAAAAGCUGA